rnacentral:lncRNA from 1 species
AAAAAUUUAAUUUAAUGUAAUGAUUAAAAGUAGGAAUGAGAAAAUUUUAAUUUAAUAUAAUGAAAAAUAGUGGUCGAGGCUUAAUUGUACAUUCUCCAACAAGUAUUAUUUUCAAACAUUAUAACCCCAGCCCACUGAACACUGAACUUAAUUGACUGGUAUAGGAACAAUAUUUAACUAAACUUCGUCAUUCCGCAGAACAGCAUGAAUUCAUCAAUCAGGUAUUUCUCGUCUAAUUAAUACAUACAGUGUUGUAUUUUUAUCUACAAUAAUUGAACAAUUUUUUGAUAUUUUUGGUAAUUUAAUUUUCUUGUUCUUUUGUGUUCUGGUUGUUUUAGAACGGUUUGAGGUAAAUUUGUAGGGAGAUAUAUGUUCUUGUGCUUGUGUUAUAGAAAAUUCGUUGUAAAAUUUGGAAAUUUUUAUUCCUUAUGUUUUUGUAAUUUGGGUGUUUUAGAACAAGUUGUGAAUUUUGGGGAUUUUAUUUGCUUAUGCUUGUGUUUUCUGGGUAUAUUAGAACAUUUUUUUGUAAAUUUUUGGGGAUUCUAUUUUUCGUGCUUGUUACUUCUGAGUGUUCUGGAAAAAUUUUGUUGUAAAUUUUGGAUAUUUUAUGUUCUUGUGCUUCUGUUUUCUAGGUGUUCGACAGGAUUUUAGGAUUCCGGAGACUUCUGUAGAUUCUUAGUGCUUUCUCGUAUUUUCUGUAUUGUUUCUGUGAGAUGGAAUUAGAAAAGUAAUAAUUUUGGGGGUUUUGUUAGUAAAAGUGUAGGUAUUUAUUUAGUGUUUUUUUUUUUUUUUUUUUCAUAUGACAUAGAAUCCAGUUGACAUUAUUGGAUAUGGGAGUGAAUUUCAUUUUGGAUUUCUUUAUUAUGUUGUAUUUGAGGAAUUUGACAUUUAUGUACGUAGAUUUUAUGUGGCUCCUUUUCUGGCCAUGUUAUUUUUAUAUUGUCGUAGUACUAUUUCUUUUUUUUAAGUAUCAAAAAUGAUGAUGAUGUAAUUUUUUUUAAGUUCUCAACCAGGGAAAUUUUGAGAAAAUUGGAGGCAGAAGGUGUCCUUAUCUUAUAAUAAUAAUAAUUAUGUUUUGCUUGUGAUUGUGAGAAAUAGUUUCUGAUAAGAUUGGCUGGCAUUGCAUGGAAAUUUCUCUGAAAUUGAGUUAUUCUCUUUGAAUGGAAUUAGGAUAAGAGGAUCCAGUUAGCUUAGGUUUUUUAUUAUGUGAAGUUGGAAGAUAAUUUUUUUCUUUUCUUGAUGGGUAUGAUUGUUGUCCAAAUUUGAGGAUUGGAACAUUUAGGGUCCUUUAGUCAUUUCUUAAUGUUGUUGCUUGAACCUUAGAACUAAGGGCAGGCUCUAAUGUUCAGACUCUUCGAAAAAGUCGUAGUACUCAUGUCGAAAAUGACAUGACAUGAGUAUGGGUAUAGAAUAUGUGUCAAAUUCUCCAAGUUUUAAUUAGACAUUUUGUCUUUUUUGUUUCUUCUUUCUUCUUCUUUCUUUCUUUCUUUUUUUCUUUUCCGUUUCUUCUUUCCCGUUUCUGCUCUUUAUACAAUCGAACACUUUGUCGUUUUUGCGGCGCUAGAAUUUCCCUUCUGUUUCUUAUCUCUUAUUUAUUUUCAUUUUCAUUUUCAUUUUCAUUUUCAUUUUCUUCCUUCUUUCCCUCUCUGUAUUGGUGGUUUAAGAUUUUGUUUGUCUAAAAUGAAAAUGAAUUCCAUAUAGUAAUACUUAGUUCUCCAUUAAGUCGAAAUUGCAAUCAAGUUCCUUAUUUUUUAUUUUAUAUAAUACUUAGUAAUUCCCAUAAUUGAAAACUAAAUUCCAAAAUUCUAUUUUAUUCGUCUUAACUCCUUAUUCAAUGCCCAUUUUCUUCAUUGUGAAUAAUUGAUUUUGGUCUAUUCAAAAUGACAUAUUGGAUUAGUAAAAAAAUUGAAGUUGGAAACAUGUACUUUCGUGCUUGUAUUCAAAAUUUAGACUCUUUUUAACCAUAUCUCCGUACCCUACAUUUUAAAAAAUGAAAUAUUCGACACUUAGAUACGUACCCGUAUCCGAAUCCAAGCAUCAUAGAGGGCAAGUUUGCUAAGAGAAUGUUACCCUACGAUAAUUUUUACUCUUUGAGGUAUUGUAAAAUACCCUUUCGCACUGUAUUUUUUAUUUAUUAUGAACCACUUCAUUUGAUUUUUCAACUUCAUGCUUUCUUUGAUGGUUAUUAAAGUAAUUACAACUGCAUAGUCGAUCAACAAAAUAGUUAAAUCAAAAUAGAGGACCCAGUAAUAUGGGUUGCUUCUAACACAAUAUUUUAUCAUUUAAAUCAUGAACCUGUACCCAGUAAAUUGUAUUAAAAGGAUUUUGUCCAUUUUCCUGGGGUCUUAAAUGGCAUAUAAACACGUGCAAGAUACAAGUCUGUACACUUGAACUUUGUUUCUACAUGACCUAACCAAUUUGAUCAGAUGCCUCUGAUUCAUUUAGACAUUUUUUUACUUCAAUAAUAGAUCAUGCCUCCUUCCAUAUUACUGCACUAUUAAUCAGUUAGAAUGACUGUUUAUGAUAAUGUUAUAUCUUACAAAUUAGUAAAUUUUUUUACUAGGCUCUAUAAAUAUUGACGUUGAUAAAGAAUACUAAUAUUUUUCGAGUUUUAUGUAAGAUUACAAAAUGAAAAUUAAUUUAAUCUACUAGUCAAAGAAAACAAUGAGUUAUUUUAUAAGUGAACAGAGAAUAUUUAUCAAUGAACAUCCACUUGUUACCAUCGUACCAGAAUCACUUUGGUUACAAAACUUGGCUGAAAAUGCAUUUAGUUUUGGACUAGGCAGAUAGAUAGUUGUGAUGGCACAUGCUAUUUUCAGUUUUCAUCUGGUAAAACAAUCUGCACACUUUCCAUUUCAUGUAUAUGCACAGCCACAAGUUACGUAUGCAUAUGUAAUUGUAUAUAUAAGUUUGGAAACGGUAAGAAGUUAUUGAUGUGUAUAAAUUUGUCCAAAUGUUGCAGGCUUUCCCUUUAAUUGUUGAAAAUUGAUGUUUUUCAGGCCCUAUGAUCUGAGAAUAAACAAUUUGUGUGUGUCCUAGUAAUUGAUUUCAUAAAUGGUGUGGUAUCGUUCUUUCCGUGCUUGGAUCAAUCACUUCCUUGCUUGUAUGAGGUAUGUACUCCAUUUUUAUCUUCUUCUUUUUUUGUGUUUAUCUUCUGUUCAGAAUAUGACGAUGAUUUUACUUUGUAAAGGACUUGGAUCUUUUCUUUCUUGUUACUAUGA